rnacentral:miRNA from 1 species
AGUGUUAUGACCUGGACACUCGGC